GGGGCCGACCGGUAUCGACAGCGAGAUGAAUGAAUGAGUAAGCAGGUCGAGUAUUUAGUGAGUAACUCGUUAAACCUAACACUAAAAGUCUAUAAACGACGACAAUAAUUACGCGCUUGCAGCGUAACACUCUAUAGAGGUUACAAUUAAUUCGGGACAAUAGUUUCGAACAAGCAUUUCUCUCAGGGGUUCCGCUCACUAAUACCCUGGUCAAGAGGAAUCGAUAUUUUGAGCUAGUCAAUUUGGAACCUAGACUGGUUGGCGAACCUAAAUAGGAUAAGGUAUAAAUUGGGUGUUUACUUCCGGUUUAUAUUCGAAAACCAAUAGUAGAAUAAACUUGUAGAAAGCUUCUUGAUUCCUUGUUUGGACGAGAGUUCGAAUCUCUCCGGCUCCACUU
rnacentral:tmRNA from 1 species